rnacentral:tRNA from 1 species
AGAAGUUUAAGUUAAUCAAAACUAAUAGCCUUCAAAGCUUUAAAUAAAAAAUUUAUUUUUAACUUCUG